rnacentral:rRNA from 1 species
UACGUAGGAGACGAGCGUUGUCCGGAAUCACUAGGCGUAAAGCGCAGGUAGGCGGUUGGAUAAGUUUCUUGUGAAAGCUCCUGGCUUAACUGGGAGAGGUCAAGGAAUACUGUCUGACUUGAGUGUGGUAGGGGUAACUGGAAUUCCCGGUGUAGCGGUGAAAUGCGUAGAUAUCGGGAGGAAUACCUAUGGCGAAGGCAGGUUACUGGGCCAUCACUGACGCUGAGCUGCGAAAGCUAGGGGAGCAAACAGG